GGUGCGUUUGUAUAACGGUAGCACACUUGGUUGCGUAAACAAGGAGGUGUGGGUUCGAGUCCCACACGUACGG
rfam:Octopus bimaculoides Scaffold28716_contig_18, whole genome shotgun sequence.